rnacentral:lncRNA from 1 species
CCAGGCUGUAGCUAAGCUCCCCUAUUGCAGAUAAAAGGAGGGCGAUGACUGAAGCAAGUGCUCUGAGAGAAACCCACCCAGGGAACACAUUCCCAAGGGUAGUGUCACGGAACAUGUCAAUCAGAUAAUCAGGCUGGAUCCAGUCAGCCCUGCUCUACAGAGGACUGAGUCUUCAUCUAGAGAGGCCACCGUUGCUGUGACUACAGGAGCCAGACUUUUCCAGGCAGCUUUAGGAGAGAACCACAGUCUAUCUCUUAUAGAUCCUGCUGCUAACCUUCCCAGUUACUUCCAGAAGGUUCUGAAAGAACCAUUUAGCAUUCUGUGUGUCAUUUCCUGGAGCGUUUGUGCUGGCUAGCUUUUUGUCAACUUGACACAUGCUAGAGUCAUCUUGGAAGAGAGAGCCUCAACUGAGAAUUGCUGCUAUCAGAUUGGCCUGUGGACAAGCGUAUGAGGUAUUUUCUUAAUUUAGGACUGAUGUGGGAGGGCCCAGACCACUGUGAUCAUGGGGUAUAUAGGAAACCACCUGAACAAGCAAUGUGGAACGAGCCAGUCAGCAAUGUCUCUCCACAACGUCUGCACCAGUUCCUGCCUUCAGCUUCCUGCCUUGAAUUCCUGCCCUGACUGACUUCCCUCAGUGAUCAACUGGGAUUAGACCAUGG